rnacentral:lncRNA from 1 species
UAAUUUAAAUCGUACUUUUUAAAAUAUCAUUUAUAAAAAUAUAUAUAUAUUUCCUAAAUGAUAUAUUUUUUCACUGAUAUAAUGUAUUUUAAUAUCGUAUAACUGGCAACUAGAGUUAAAUUAAAUUACUAAAAGUCAUCAGGAAAUAAUAUAUACAAAAUCUUCAAUCAUGUUGCUACAUAAAAAUACAAAUUUAAUUUCGUAUUUUAUGAUAAAACGCGAGUUAAUCAUGCAGGUUCUCCAUAAACAAGUUUCUUUUGCAACUCAGUUGACGUCACAGUGCCAUGCUACUUUUUGCUACUUUUUCCUUGCUACUUGCUACUUUGCCACAAAAGUUUCUGGCAACCCUGAUCGGAGAUGUAUUUCAUACUUUGCCGGUUUCUCAUUUGGCAUUC